rnacentral:rRNA from 1 species
GAUCCUGGCUUAGGAUGAACGCUAGCGACAGGCUUAACACAUGCAAGUCGAGGGGCAGCACGGGAGUAGCAAUACUUGGUGGCGACCGGCGCACGGGUGAGUAACGCGUAUGCAACCUACCUAUCAGAGGGGAAUAACCCGGCGAAAGUCGGACUAAUACCGCAUAAAACAGGGGCACCGCAUGGUGAUAUUUGUUAAAGAAAUUCGCUGAUAGAUGGGCAUGCGUUCCAUUAGGUAGUUGGUGAGGUAACGGCUCACCAAGCCGACGAUGGAUAGGGGAACUGAGAGGUUGGUCCCCCACACUGGUACUGAGACACGGACCAGACUCCUACGGGAGGCAGCAGUGAGGAAUAUUGGUCAAUGGGCGGGAGCCUGAACCAGCCAAGUCGCGUGAAGGAAGAAGGAUCUAUGGUUCGUAAACUUCUUUUGCAGGGGAAUAAAGUGCAGGACGUGUCCUGUUUUGUAUGUACCCUGAGAAUAAGGAUCGGCUAACUCCGUGCCAGCCGCCGC